AGCAGUGUGCCUUAAUGGAAAGAGCAUGGACCUGGGAUUCAGAGGAUCUGGGUUCUAAUCCUAGCUCUGCCA
rnacentral:tRNA from 1 species